GCCCCCUUAGCUCAGCUGGAUAGAGCAUCGGACUUCUAAUCCGAGGGUCAGAGGUUCAAGUCCUCUAGGGGGUA
rnacentral:tRNA from 1 species